AACGAACGCUGGCGGCAGGCUUAACACAUGCAAGUCGAACGCCCCGCAAGGGGAGUGGCAGACGGGUGAGUAACGCGUGGGAAUCUACCCAGAUCUACGGAACAACAGUUGGAAACGACUGCUAAUACCGUAUACGCCCUACGGGGGAAAGAUUUAUCGGAUUUGGAUGAGCCCGCGUAAGAUUAGCUAGUUGGUGGGGUAAUGGCCUACCAAGGCGACGAUCUUUAGCUGGUCUGAGAGGAUGAUCAGCCACACUGGGACUGAGACACGGCCCAGACUCCUACGGGAGGCAGCAGUGGGGAAUAUUGGACAAUGGGCGCAAGCCUGAUCCAGCCAUGCCGCGUGAGUGAUGAAGGCCUUAGGGUUGUAAAGCUCUUUCAGUAGGGAAGAUAAUGACGGUACCUACAGAAGAAGCCCCGGCUAACUUCGUGCCAGCAGCCGCGGUAAGAC
rnacentral:rRNA from 1 species